ACCAUAUGGGAUGCUGGGAAUCAAACCCGGGUCGGCCGCGUGCAAGGCAAACGCCCUACCCGCUAUUCCUAUUCCUCCAGCCCCCAGAUUAUUUCCUUACUGUGCUGAGUGCUCAAAGAAUACACUGUGGCCCGGGCACUAUGAUGGCCCAGCUGUAAUACUACCCCAUCUGCGUCAUAUUCCUGUCAUAUUUCUAACGAUGAUGUCAUGGUAGGUCCUGCAGUCGUAUAACAGCGCUGUCAUCUAGUAUUGGGCCCUUUCAGUGCCAAAACAUCUUAAUCAUUUUUGCCUUUUAAAAAGUAAUAAACUCAGCAGUGUGGAGCGCUGUCAUCCCGCGGGUGCGCAGGACCCGCCGCGCCUCACGCCGCCGCCAGGGGGCGCGCUGCGGCCCGCGGCCGACUGGACGCCGAGGCCCGACGCUGGCUCGCGGCGGGGCGGGCAGGGCGGCUGCGUGGCGUGGCCGCCGGCCGCGAUGUCGUCGGAGCCGGGGCGCGCGGGCUCGCGGCGGCCGCGGGAGCCGCCCGAGCAGGAGCUGCAGCGGCGGCGGGAGCGGAAGCGGCGGCGACACGACGCGCAGCAGCUGCAGCAACUCCAGCACCUGGAGUCCUUUUACGAGAAGCCUCCUCCAGGCCUCAUCAAGGAGGACGAGACAAAGCCAGAAGACUGUAUUCCAGACGUGCCGGGCAAUGAGCACGCCAGGGAGUUCCUGGCCCAUGCACCCACGAAAGGACUAUGGAUGCCCCUGGGAAAGGAAGUCAAAGUUAUGCAGUGUUGGCGUUGUAAACGGUAUGGUCACCGGACAGGAGACAAAGAAUGUCCUUUCUUUAUCAAAGGCAACCAAAAGUUGGAACAGUUCAGAGUAGCUCAUGAAGACCCCAUGUAUGACAUCAUCCGAGAGAAUAAGAGACACGAAAAGGACAUAAGGAUACAACAGCUAAAACAGCUCCUGGAAGAUUCUACCUCAGAUGAAGAUUCGAGCAGCAGCAGUUCCUCAGAUGGUAAAGAGAAACACAAGAAAAGGAAGAAGAAGGAAAAGCAGAAGAAAAAGAAGAAAGAAAAGAAAAAGAAGAAAAAACGAAAACAUAAAUCUUCCAAGUCCAACGAGAGCUCUGACUCAGAAUGACCAGAACCCGUUCCCCUUUCUGGCCUCAGAGUCUGGGGGCCAUGACUGAGGACAGAGGAGUGGAGACCGCGUGGUGCCACUAUGACAUCCUUCAGAGACAGGGACCCGGCCCUCGUCCCCCACUUGCUCACCCUGGACAGCUCCAGGCAGGAGCCCUGCGUCCAGGCUCCCCCCUUGCUUGUUGCAGGGGUCAGGAGCCCCUCCAGUGCUACCAGCCUCCCCCUUCGAAGGGGCCGCUGUGACUUCCAGACUGCCGGCCUGACUUCUCUCUGUUUCCCAAAAGUGCUGGAAAUACAGUGUGACAAAACAAAGCAAAUACAGGAACAUCCAUUUAAUGUCACAGACACUGGGAAGAAGUCAGGACAGGCCUUGAGGACCACGGAAUCUGGAAAUGCACUCUUCCACUCUGGAAACCUAGAGAGAGAGUACAGGCAUCAGCACCUGCCUUCAGCCACACUCCAGCGCUCACAGGCAUCCUAACACUGUCCUCCACACCAGCUAGUGACUGCCUGUUCUUCCCAGUACAUCCCCAGGAUUCGCCACUGAAUGGACAAUGAAAAAAUACCUGAGUCUCAACCCUAUAUGGGGUCAUGUGACUUCUUAAAACUUUGUUUAUUGAAUCAAUUGUUUUUUGGUUUGGGGCCACACCCAGCAGUGCUCAGGGCUUACUCCUGAUUCUGUGCUCAAAGAUCACUUCUGGCAGACUCUGGGGACCAUAUGAGGUGCAAGGGAUCAAACCCAGGUCAGCUGCCUGCAAGGCAAAUACCCUACGCUCUGUACUAUCACUCUGGCCUCCUGGAUCAAUUUUUAUUUGCAUGCCUAUUUUUUUAUUGAAUCACUGUGAUAAUUACAAAAUUGUUCAUGAUUUUCAGUCAUACAAUGUUCCAACACCCAUACCUCCACAGGUGUAAUUUUCCAGCACCAGUGUCCCCAGUUUCCCUCCCACCCCUUCACCCCACCCCAGUCUGCCUCUAUGACAGUGUUGGGGCUGGAGCAAUAGCACAGUGGGUAGGGCAUUUGUCAUGCAUGCGACCAACCUGGGUUCGAUUCCCAGCAUCCCAUAUGGUCCCCCAAGAGUAAUUCCUGAGUGCAGAGCCAGGAAUAACCCCUGUGCAUCAACAGGUGUGACCCAAAAAGCAAAAAUAAAUAAUAUCAGUGUUGAUGAGGGUGGGGCUCCAAGGAUGAACGCAUGGCUAAAAGUAACAGUCAUGCAAAGUUGAACCCAUGAGUCUGAAUGUGACCCUGGAAGCCGCUCACAUGUCCUGAGCAUGGUCAUGAUGGAUCUGCUACUUGGACCCGUAUCACCACAGUGUGUAAGCCACAGCCAGGUGUCUGGAAGCACAACUAGUGCUGUUACCUCCCUUCCCAGGAAAAUCUGGUCAAGAGACAUUCCAGUGAGUACCUUGAUUUCCUCCUAAGAGGCUGGGAGGGGGGGGCAGGUGGGAGGAGUCCUUUGAUUAUUUUCCCACAAAGUGUGAAGAGAUAAUCCACACGUAAGGUUUGCUCAGACCAGAUGGCGAUUGGAUGAUGAGAUUUCCCCAAAUCAGAGAUCACCGAGCCCCUCGGUGCCAAGGACAGGACUUAUGGCCCUCCUGGUGAUAGGAAGCUACCAGACUGGUUCCAUGCUUCCUCACAUCGACCUUCUACAGGCAACAUACAACCAGACCAAACUGCACUGGCCCCACUGGUCUUGUUCCCUUUUCCCUCCCAAGACCCAAAAGGCCACAUCUGCAUGUAGGAGCCAGGGACAAGGGCACCUACAAAGGCAGGCCCCGUGCACUGUGGCAAGAAUGCCAUGGACACAGAGCUGCCUGUUGACACUUUGAUCUCUGUCUAAAAAAUAAUCUGAGCCAGUCUCAGCUCAAAGGAUAUUUUGUCCCUCAGCGGUUAUUUGAAUGAUUGCGCUUAUUAAAUGAUCAGGUCCAGAGGAAAGCAGUGAUGAAUGCCCUUCCCUUCCCUGAUCAGCCUCAGCCUCACUGCACCAAUGAGUUCCAUCUCGAAACACUGCUGUUGUGACCCCUGGUGCCACAACAAAGGAUACAAAAACACAGCUGAAGUGUGCAACCCCUGUGAACACACAACCAAGCAUGCAGACACCAGGCAUAUAUGAUGCCCAGUCAUUGCAGCAGCAAGAACCAAGGAAACUAAACCACCACCAGCACCUCCCAUGGUUUACCUCAGCUUUGAGCUCACCUGCUACGCUGAACUCACCUAUAGAACAGCCCUGCCUUGGCCAGGAGGGUCAUGCUGGUUAGUACAGUGUCAUCAUGCUAUCUGACAGCUUCCGAGCUGUUCCUCUCACUUCCUAUUGAAUUACCCAAAACUGACAUGCAUCAUCUUCAACACACUUGUAUUCAACAUCUUUUCAAUGAUCAGUAUUCAUUCUAGCUUCUUUUGAUAACAAGCCCUUUGAAGUUUUUUUGGAAAAGGAGGAGAAUGCCUGUCUUUCUCCAAACACUAUGCUCUACAUAAGCUCAGCCCACCUUCAACAAGUUGCGCAUAAUUUUCAGUCUUGAUGAGCAUAUCUUCCCUGAUAUGGUAACUAAAAGAGAAAGAUCAAGUGACAAGGCAGACUAAGGGAGUAAGUCUGUUGAAUCAUUGGAAAAUAAAUCUCUUCCUAGGCCAGAGAGAUAGUAUAACAGAUAGGGCACUUGCCUUGCACAUGGCUGACCCAGGUUCGAUUCCCAACACCCCAUAUAGUCCUCUGAGCCCUCCCAGGAGUGAACCCUCAGCCCAGAGCCAGAAGAAUGUCCUGAGCAUGGGCAACUGUGGCACAAAAGCCAAAGGGAAAAAAAUUAUAUCUCUCUUGAAUGGAACAGAGGAAGGAAUCUUGGUGUUUCAGACACAACAAGCCAGGGCACAUACACUAAAAACAAAAAAAAGGGGGGGGAUUAUAAAAUAACAUAGUAUGAGACUGUCACUCGUGGACAGUAGAAAUGAGGGUCAGGAGUGAGGACUGGUCCACUGGUCAGGAGUGAGGACUGGUUGGAAGCUUGCCAACAGUGCAGGGGGAAGGAGAGGGUAGUUAGGAUAGAGAAGGGACCACUAUGACAUUGAUAGUUGGAAAUGAUCACUCUGGACAAGAAUUGAGUGCUGAAAGUAGGAAAAGGGUUAUACACAAUAAACUUUCAGUGCCUGUAUUGCAAACUAUCAUGCCCAAGAGGAAAGAGAGGGAAAGAGCAAUCGAGAUUCAAAGAAAAGUUCCUGCCAUAGAGGCUGACUAGUGGUGGGGGUGUGAGGCAAACUGGGGACAUGGGUGGUUGGAAAUAUACACUGGUGAAGGAUGGGUGUUGGAACAUUGUAGGACCAAAACCCAAUCAUAAUCAACUUUGUAACUCAGUGAUUUAUCUCACAGUGAUAUAAUUAAGAGGAAAACAAUUUUAAUUUCAAGUAGGGUUUGGGGAUGAUGAAGUCUGGCAUCACUGCCUUCAAAAUAUGCAUUGUUUUCUGAAGAGGAAUUCACCGCCUCGGGCAAAAAGUGUGUUCAUAAUUAGGAACUCUAUCCACUUAAUCCCAUAAUAUUCCAAACAGGUAGAGAAGUCUGCCAGUGCAGAUCACCAAUCCUGGAUGGAAAAUCCCUUCUGGAACCUUCCAGCUAGCUCGAGGUCGGACCCAGAAGGCUACAUCUGCGUCUAGGAGCUGGCGGGCACGGCACCCUGCAAAGACAGGCUCCGCACACUGCCAAGAAUGCCACGAGCAUAGAGGGGCCUGUGGGGACUUACAUCUCCCUUCUGCAUGUCCUCAGGAAGGGGGAGCUGCCCUCCUAUUCUCUGUUUCCCCCACUUCAGUAGGCUGAGCUCCUGCUUUCCUCCUUCCCUGGACCUGAGGUCGCCAGGCCGAGGAGGCACCAGCAUAGACACGACAGCCUGAGAGGAGGAAGGCUGGAAUGGGCUCACUCAUGCCUGCUCCAAGCCAGGACAGUGAUGCCCCCGAAGAAGAGGCAUGGCUAGGAGGGGACAAUGGGUUGGGUCAAAUAAUGGAACAGAACCAGAGAUGUGGAGAGUAUCGUGCUGAGUGACAUCAGUCCGAGGAGAGGGAUAAACGAAGAAUGGUUGCACAUGUUUUCAGAAUAUCAGAAAACAAAAAGAAAAAAAUAGUGUGUGAAUAAUACCCAAAGACAGUAGAAAUAAGGGCCUGGAGGACUGUCUGUAGUAGGGAGCUCUCCACAAAGGGGGAGGGGACUGCACUUAGGACAGAGAAGGGACCACUAUGACAGUGAUAGCUGGAAAUGAUCAUUCUGGACACAAACAUUGUGGAAGGCUAAGUGAUAUGUACAAAACCCUUUCAGUAACAGUACUGCAAACCACAGUGCCUAAAAGGAAAAGAGAGAGGGAGGGAGAGAGGGAGCAGGGAGGGAGAGGGAGAGAGAGAGAGAAAGAGAAUGAGUAGAAGUAAAGUGACUGCCAUACAGACAGGCUCUGAGGGCAGGGAGGUGGGGGCAGGAACUGAAGAAAAACUGAGUACAUUGGCCGUGGGAAAUGUGCUCUAGUGCUCAACACCAUCUAGGGAUGGGUGUUGGAACAUUUUAUGACUGGAACUCAAUCAUGAACAGUUUUGUAACUGUAUAUUUCAUGGUUAUUUAAGAAUAAAACUCGGGGCUGGAGUGAUAGCACAGCAGGUAGGGCGUUUGCCUUGCACGCGGCUGACCCGGGUUCGAUUCCCAGCAUCCCAUAUGGUCCCCUGAGCACCGCCAGGGGU